UACAGAGGGGGCGAGCGUUGUUCGGAAUUACUGGGCGUAAAGGGCGCGUAGGCGGCCUGCUAAGUCAUACGUGAAAUCCCUCGGCUCAACCGGGGAACUGCGUGUGAUACUGGCGGGCUUGAAUUCGGGAGAGGGAUGCGGAAUUCCAGGUGUAGCGGUGAAAUGCGUAGAUAUCUGGAGGAACACCGGUGGCGAAGGCGGCAUCCUGGACCGAGAUUGACGCUGAUGCGCGAAAGCCAGGGGAGCAAACG
rnacentral:rRNA from 1 species